GAACUAAGCAAGGUCUGUCUCAAAUUGAUCAAAUACAACUCAAAUUGAAAAUCAAGAAAUAAUUAUUAAACCUAUAAAAUCAACAGAGCAUUGGUGGAGGAAAAGCCAACAAACCCAUUGAUUAAAACAGCAUCAAAUAUCACACUAACAUGAAAAUCUAUUAACAUGCACUUGAUUAACCUAAGGAAUAUCAUGUCGCCAUCGAUGAGGGAAAAAAAUAAAGAUAAA
rnacentral:misc_RNA from 1 species